rnacentral:rRNA from 1 species
GAUGAACGCUGGCGGCGUGCCUAAUACAUGCAAGUCGAGCGAACAGACGAGGAGCUUGCUCCUCUGACGUUAGCGGCGGACGGGUGAGUAGCACGUGGAUAACCUACCUAUAAGACUGGGAUAACUUCGGGAAACCGGAGCUAAUACCGGAUAACAUGUUGAACCGCAUGGUUCAACAGUGAAAGACGGUUUUGCUGUCACUUAUAGAUGGAUCCGCGCCGCAUUAGCUAGUUGGUAAGGUAACGGCUUACCAAGGCAACGAUGCGUAGCCGACCUGAGAGGGUGAUCGGCCACACUGGAACUGAGACACGGUCCAGACUCCUACGGGAGGCAGCAGUAGGGAAUCUUCCGCAAUGGGCGAAAGCCUGACGGAGCAACGCCGCGUGAGUGAAGAAGGUCUUCGGAUCGUAAAACUCUGUUAUUAGGGAAGAACAAAUGUGUAAGUAACUAUGCACGUCUUGACGGUACCUAAUCAGAAAGCCACGGCUAACUACGUG